CAGUAGCCGCGGUAAUACGUAGGUGGCAAGCGUUGUCCGGAAUUAUUGGGCGUAAAGGGCUCGCAGGCGGUUUCUUAAGUCUGAUGUGAAAGCCCCCGGCUCAACCGGGGAGGGUCAUUGGAAACUGGAAACUUGAGUGCAGAAGAGGAGAGUGGAAUUCCACGUGUAGCGGUGAAAUGCGUAGAGAUGUGGAGGAUCACCAGUGGCGAAGGCGACUCUCUGGUCUGUAACUGACGCUGAGGAGCGAAAGCGUGGGGAGCGAACAGGAUUAGAUACCCCAAUAGUCCCUGUCUCUUAUACA
rnacentral:rRNA from 1 species